UAAGCGGAGGAAAAGAAACUAACAAGGAUUCCCCUAGUAACUGCGAGUGAAGCGGGAAAAGCUCAAAUUUAAAAUCUGGCGGUCCUUGCGGCCGUCCGAGUUGUAAUCUGGAGAAGUGCUUUCCGCGCUGGACCGUGUACAAGUCUCUUGGAACAGAGCGUCGUAGAGGGUGAGAAUCCCGUCUUUGACACGGACUACCAGUGCUUUGUGAUGCGCUCUCAAAGAGUCGAGUUGUUUGGGAAUGCAGCUCAAAAUGGGUGGUAAAUUCCAUCUAAAGCUAAAUAUUGGCGAGAGACCGAUAGCGAACAAGUACCGUGAGGGAAAGAUGAAAAGAACUUUGGAAAGAGAGUUAAACAGUACGUGAAAUUGCUGAAAGGGAAACGCUUGAAGUCAGUCGCGUUGGCCGGGACUCAGCCUUGCUUCCGCUUGGUUUAUUUUCUGGUCGACGGGUCAGCAUCAGUUUUGAUCGUCGGACAAUGGCUGGGGGAAUGUGGCAUCUUCGGAUGUGUUAUAGCCCUCGGUCGCAUACGAUGGUUGGGACUGAGGAUCUCAGCACACCUUUAUGGUCGGGGUUCGCCCACGUUUGUGCUUAGGAUGCUGGCAUAAUGGCUUUAAACGACCCGUCUUGAAACACGGACCAAGGAGUCUAACAUGCAUGCGAGUGUUUGGGUGGAAAACCCGAGCGCGUAAUGAAAGUGAAAGUUGAGACCUCUGUCGUGGAGGGCAUCGACGCCCGGACCAGACCUUCUGUGACGGCCCUGCGGUAGAGCAUGUAUGUUGGGACCCGAAAGAUGGUGAACUAUGCCUGAAUAGGGUGAAGCCAGAGGAAACUCUGGUGGAGGCUCGUAGCGAUUCUGACGUGCAAAUCGAUCGUCAAAUUUGGGUAUAGGGGCGAAAGACUAAUCGAACCAUCUAGUAGCU
rnacentral:rRNA from 1 species